UGCAUGGUUGUCGUCAGCUCGUGUCGUGAGAUGUUGGGUUAAGUCCCGCAACGAGCGCAACCCUCGCCUCUAGUUGCCAGCAUUCGGUUGGGCACUCUAGAGGGACUGCCGGCGACAAGUCGGAGGAAGGUGGGGAUGACGUCAAAUCAUCAUGCCCCUUAUGACCUGGGCUACACACGUGCUACAAUGGGCGGUACAAAGGGCUGCGAACCCGCGAGGGGGAGCGAAUCCCAAAAAGCCGCUCUCAGUUCGGAUUGCAGGCUGCAACUCGCCUGCAUGAAGCCGGAAUCGCUAGUAAUCGCGGAUCAGCAUGCCGCGGUGAAUACGUUCCCGGGCCUU
rnacentral:rRNA from 1 species